AGCAGCCGCGGUAAUUCCAGCUCCAAUAGCGUAUAUUAAAGUUGUUGCAGUUAAAAAGCUCGUAGUUGAAUUUCGGGAUCAAUAUGUCGGUCGUGCCUUCGGUACGUACUGGUAUCAUUGGUCUCUCCUUUCUGACGAACCAUGAUGUCAUUAAUUUGGUGUUAUGGGGAGUUAGGACUGUUACUUUGAAAAAAUUAGAGUGUUUAAAGCAGGCUUUAGCUUGAAUACAUUAGCAUGGAAUAAUGAAAUAGGACGUUCGAACCUAUUUUGUUGGUUUCUAGGAUCAACGUAAUGAUUAAUAGGGAUAGUUGGGGGCAUUAGUAUUCAAUUGUCAGAGGUGAAAUUCUUGGAUUUAUUGAAGACUAACUACUGCGAAAGCAUUUGCCAAGGAUGUUUUCAUUAAUCAAGAACGAAAGUUAGGGGAUCGAAGACGAUCAGAUACCGUCGUAGUCUUAACCAUAAACUAUGCCGACUAGGGAUCGGAUGA
rnacentral:rRNA from 1 species